rnacentral:rRNA from 1 species
UACGUAGGGGGCAAGCGUUGUCCGGAAUCAUUGGGCGUAAAGCGCGUGUAGGCGGCCCGAUAAGUCCGCUGUGAAAGUCCAGGGCUCAACCCUGGGAUGCCGGUGGAUACUGUCGGGCUCGAGUCCGGAAGAGGAGUGUGGAAUUCCUGGUGUAGCGGUGAAAUGCGCGGAUAUCGGAAGGAACGUCGGUGGCGAAAGCGGCGCGCUGGACCUCUUCUGACGCUGAGGCGCGAAAGCCAGGGGAGCAAACGGG